rnacentral:rRNA from 1 species
AUUGAACGCUGGCGGCAUGCCUUACACAUGCAAGUCGAACGGCAGCACGGGAGCAAUCCUGGUGGCGAGUGCGAACGGGUGAGUAAUAUAUCGGAACGUGCCCAGUCGUGGGGAUAACGUAGCGAAAGCUACGCUAAUACCGCAUACGAUCUAUGGAUGAAAGCGGGGGAUCGCAAGACCUCGCGCGAUUGGAGCGGCCGAUAUCAGAUUAGGUAGUUGGUGAGGUAAAGGCUCACCAAGCCGACGAUCUGUAGCUGGUCUGAGAGGACGACCAGCCACACUGGGACUGAGACACGGCCCAGACUCCUACGGGAGGCAGCAGUGGGGGAAUUUUUGGACAAUGGGCGCAAGCCUGAUCCAGCAAUGCCGCGUGCAGGAUGAAGGCCUCGGUGU